rnacentral:rRNA from 1 species
GACGAACGCUGGCGGCGUGCUUAACACAUGCAAGUCGAACGGAAAGGCCCUGCUUGCGGGGUACUCGCGUGGCGAACGGGUGUGUAACACGCGGGUGAUCCGCCCUCCACUCCGGGUUAUGCCUGGGAAACUGGGUCUAUUAUCGCAUAGGAGCCAUCUUUAGUGUGAUGGUUGGAAAGUUUUUUUGGUGUAGGAUGAGCUCGCGGCCUAUCAGCUUGUUGGUUGGGUAAUGGCCUACCAAGGCGGCGACGGGUAGCCGGCCUGGGAGGGUGGACGGCCACAUUGGGGCUGAAAUACGGGCCAAACUCCUACAGGAAGCAACAGGGGGGGAAUUUUGACAAUGGGGGCAAGCCUGAAUGAGCGACGCCGCGGGGGGGAAGACGGGCUUCGGGUUUGAAACUCGGUUCGCUAGGUGCGGAUCUUUUUGUGACGGUACCUGGUAAAGAAGCACCGGCUAACUACGUG